AAGAAAUCAAUUGAAUUGAAUUCAAUUGAAUUGAAGUUAAAAUUCUAGUUUUCAAACGGUAUAGAUGCCAUUGCAUGAAAACCAUAUUCCCUGUAUAAAAAAAAAAAGGUUUUUUACUCCUUUGGAACCUCAUUCCCUUGUUAAUGGCAUGAUGAUUAAAGUGGAGAUGUGUUGUACUUGGUGAAGCCUCAAUCUUGUAAUGUAAUGAUGAUUGCCAUAAAUGCACAAGUGCUCUAUUGGUUGUUUGAGUUUGACCUUGUAUCACUAUAGGUGCCUGGUUUUUCUUCACUGCGU
rnacentral:misc_RNA from 1 species